GAUGAAGAACGUAGCGAAAUGCGAUAAGUAGUGUGAAUUGCAGAAUUCAGUGAAUCAUCGAAUCUUUGAACGCACAUUGCGCCCCUUGGUAUUCCAUGGGGCAUGCCUGUUCGAGCGUCAUUUGUACCUUCAAGCUUUGCUUAGUGUUGGGUGUUUGUCUCGCCUUUGCGUGUAGACUCGCCUUAAAAUAAUUGGCAGCCGGCGUAUUGAUUUCGGAGCGCAGUACAUCUCGCGCUUUGCACUCAUAACGACAGCGUCCAAAAGUACAUUUUACACUCUUGACCUCGGAUCAGGUAGGGAUACCCGCUGAACUUAAGCAUAUCAAUAAGCGGAGGA
rnacentral:misc_RNA from 1 species